CGUCAUUCUCUUCACGGUGCUAAGUUGGCUUUUAUUAAACAGCGGCGUUUCACCAAAAUAAACAUCAUAAGUCAUUAUUAGACGGUCCAGAAGGAAAAUAUCCCCACAGACUUUAUGGUGGAGACUGAAAAGAUGAAAACAGUCGGAGUUAGAGUGGAUAAAACAGAUGUGGAUGAAGCUGCUCCAACAUCAGCUCCAGCUUCGGGGUACCGACGCGUACUACCGAACCGGACGGAGGGUUCUCGUCCCCAGUCCGGAGUACUAACCCAGAGAAGAACUCAGCGUCCAUUGUCCUCAAGAU